rnacentral:rRNA from 1 species
GACGAACGCUGGCGGCGUGCCUAAUACAUGCAAGUAGAACGCUGAAGAGAGGAGCUUGCUCUUCUUGGAUGAGUUGCGAACGGGUGAGUAACGCGUAGGUAACCUGCCUUGUAGCGGGGGAUAACUAUUGGAAACGAUAGCUAAUACCGCAUAACAAUAGGUGACACAUGUCAUUUAUUUGAAAGGGGCAAUUGCUCCACUACAAGAUGGACCUGCGUUGUAUUAGCUAGUAGGUGAGGUAACGGCUCACCUAGGCGACGAUACAUAGCCGACCUGAGAGGGUGAUCGGCCACACUGGGACUGAGACACGGCCCAGACUCCUACGGGAGGCAGCAGUAGGGAAUCUUCGGCAAUGGGGGCAACCCUGACCGAGCAACGCCGCGUGAGUGAAGAAGGUUUUCGGAUCGUAAAGCUCUGUUGUAAGUCAAGAACGAGUGUGAGAGUGGAAAGUUCACACUGUGACGGUAGCUUACCAGAA